UACGAAGGGGCUAGCGUUGCUCGGAAUCACUGGGCGUAAAGCGCACGUAGGCGGCUUUUUAAGUCAGAGGUGAAAUCCUGGAGCUCAACUCCAGAACUGCCUUUGAUACUGGAGAGCUUGAGUCCGGGAGAGGUGAGUGGAACUGCGAGUGUAGAGGUGAAAUUCGUAGAUAUUCGCAAGAACACCAGUGGCGAAGGCGGCUCACUGGCCCGGUACUGACGCUGACGGUGCGAAAGUGUGGGGAGCGAACGA
rnacentral:rRNA from 1 species